ACCCCCGCGGGGGGGGUCUGCGCGGCCGAGCGGGUGAGCACUGGCGUUUCCGGCAGCGGCUGCGUGCUCGCGCUGGAGGAGGGCGCAGCUUUACCUACAACUGAACAAACACAGCGUGUAACGCCAGCUUCUCACCAACACGUCCGAGUCAUAACUUUCCAUCUAAUUUUUGGAAGAGCCAUACGCACCUUCCAGUCUGCUUCGAAUUCUCCUCAGAAGGCUAACGUGCAGAACAAGCUUCGCAAAAGCCCUUUCCUCAUUCACUGCGAUUGCUUUCCUCUUGUAGCCACACAGAAACAAGGGACGAGAUCCCAGAGACAAUACAUGUGUUUAGCUGUUCUUUUGGUUAUUGCUGAGAGCACCUGUAUUGAUUUCCAUGGGACCUUAUGCAAUUUGUGUGUUUGAUAAUUUCUACACUUGCCAUUUUGGGACAGCUACGGAAAUGUAAAGAUUCAACUGAAAGUCACAACAACUGCAAAAUAAACUCUACAUUUGUCAAAGAAGAAAUACGACAAAUAUUCAUAGUUCUAGGCUGCUGAAAGGAAACUCAAUGAAGUGGGAUUUAAACCAGAAGCUAUAAUGGGGAACGAAAACGUUUUUCAUAGUCACAAAGAAUGAAAAAUCACUCCUAAAAAUUGUUUUACUACAGGUAUUUCUACGUUAAUGCAAAAAAGAAAGGUAACGAAUCUGGCUUCAAAACCAGCUCUGCGGCACAGAAGGAAAAAAAGAAAGUAGUCUCAUCCUACCAUCUUGUUUAGGAGGAGUCUCCUUCGAUUCUUUCUUGGUCUUCCUUCCGUCGCGGCCACAAUGAUCAUCCCCGAGGUCGAUGACGAGUUCGCUCUCCGAAUCAGAGUCCAGGCCCAGGUGCACAGUUGGAGAGUCUGUUUCAUCUUUACCUUUCAGUUUCUCUUUCGCAGGGUGCUGUAAGCUCUUUCCCUUCUCAGAAAACUCUUUUUCGCUGUCUGUAAUUGCCUUUUCUUUGACUGGGUCAUCUGUCUUCUCCAGAUCCGGACUUGUGCUUUUAAGUUCCUCCUUGUCUUCAUUCUGUGCUUGGGGCUUGGGUUUUUUCUUCAAGUUCAAUGACUCUUUGUCACUUCUUGUACCUUCCUUGUCCUCUCCAUCUUCCUGAUCGUUCUUUGAUUUCUGAUCCUCAUCACUAUAUUCACUGUCACUGGUGUCGGACUUUUCAGAAUCUUCAGAGUCGCUGUGUUCUACUGCCGUAUAAACAGCUUCAGAUAUUUCAUUUAUUCCUAUGGUGGGGAGGAAAGUACAUUCCAUGCUGGCAUCAGACUGACCGACAUUACCAAAAGAAUACUCUAUAUACUGGAACAAAGCGUAUAUAUACCGUUAUCUUAACCGUGAGCCCUUGAACUAGAAACACUUCCCUUAGUGCCCUGUUUCAAUACCAGAAUGUACAAGGAUUACCUUCCCCGUAUUCUAAUUCAAACCUUUCUUUCACUCAAUGGGCCUCCUUUCACUCAUAUUCUCCCACUACACGCAAGCUGUUUUGUUCAACUGAAGCCGAAUGCUGGCAAAUGCAAAGAGGAAUUAUUUUUAUGCACAAAACCCACUUUAAAAUCAGUAACACUAUUCACCCGAUUCAAGUUCCUUACACACAUGUCUGCAGAAUCAGUUUUAGGCUGCCAAGGUUUGCAAGGAGAAUCUCUGAUUUCUUUAGUGCCUAGAAAGUCUUCACACACUUUCUAGACAACACUGACCAGCAUUCAGCUCCUGUGUGACUGGACAUGCUAAUUCGUGCAAGUGAUGGAAGUUUGGUCCAAGUCCUGAACUUUUCAAUUUAUAAAGCAAAUAUUAAUACUGUAAUUCUGUCAUACUACCUAUAUCAGAAUGGUAAAAAACACAUUAAAAGAUGAAAGCUUUUUGACAAAAAUUUGAAACAUCAGCCGUAUUUUAAAUUAAACUUGCCUCAAAGAGCUCAAAUAUCCUCUACUCUUGUUUUAAUGCACAAAAUAUUUAAGGUUAUGGUAUUUGAAAACUCCUUUUAAACUCCAGCUCAAACUUUCCUCAAGCGUAUCCUUCAGACGCCCACUGCAUUCCUGAGAUACACUCACCAAGCUGUGCUUUACAACUCUCUAUUGUCUUGUCAAGAUUAAGCUGGAACCUGCUCCGUAUCUGCCGUUUGGGCGAGAUGAGCUGCACGGGGGUGCUUUGCUGCUGGACCGACUCGCUCAGCUCCUUCAGAUCCAUCUCGGCUUUGCUGCGAUCUGGGAAAACAACAAGGAACUAAGGAAAAUAUUUUACAGAAACAGAUCGAUAUCCAGUUUAGACAAACCGUACUGAGCAACGGUGCAGACAAUGCCAAACAUAUUGCACCCCUUCUAUAAUUGUGGGUUAAAUAAUAAUUCUAAAAUGACUUUAGUACAAACAACGGAUUCUCUGAUACUACAGAUUUCCCAUGCAAAAUGCCUGUAUCAAUUAUUUGGACGUUUGUCAACGUUAAUUAUCAAAUCAUGAUCAUUCAGGUGUGCACCCUGUCCAACAACAGCAGUAGCUCACUAAAAGUGCUAUUUACUACUAGUAGUAAUACUUCUCCAGCGAUAAUUAAGCAGCAAUAAAAAUUCUUACAGUCACCAUUUAAAAUAAUUAAUAAGAAUAUAGAUGUGCAUUGUUACACUAGAGAAAUAAAUUUAAGAUAAUAUUUUUUUCCCAUGUA